ACACACACUUGCAGCCUUCUGAAGUGGAGUGGUGCUACUGUGUAUGGGCAGAUGCCUGAAGCCUUCAAAUGAAGUCAUCAGAUCUGUGUCCACCGCCUUUAUAGCACUUCAUGUUAACUCAUAUGGCUGAAAGAGCCUUCUUCCAAAAUUACAUGUCUGGGUGAGAGAAAAACACUUAAGCAUCACAACAGUGAGAGGAAGUAGCAGAAAAUUAAGCACCUGAGAUCAACAGUUUUGCAGAGACUGGUUGAAUGAAGACACUUAAAAAGGUUUUGCCUCAAUGCACUUCAACGUAAGGUUUUAGAAGUCCAGUUCCAUAUUUCCACCAGCAUGUCAAAGGGUGGGAGCAGAUGUUGUCCUAGAGGAAUUCACAUAAAUAUACGAUGUCACAGGUUUUGUUCAGAGUGAAACACUUUCUUCAGAAGAAGAGGCUGACAUCACUGAGCAAUCAUCAUUGACAAGAAAACCUGUUUAAAAUAUGGAAUUGUUAUGGAAUUAAAGGAAAUAUGAGAUACUUUGAAAACAUGCACAGAUAUAUGGAUAUAAAGUCUCGACACAACUUGGCGCUGAUUGGCCAAUGAGUCAAAACUACUCACACCAGAAUCCAAUGAAACAAUCACCUGUGCAUAAACAAUCUCCAAACACGUUCCAAACGAGCAAAACACAGGGAAACAAAUGAGGUAAAAAUAUCCAAUGAAGAUGAUAUGCUUAAAAGCCUUCUGAUCUCUACACAUUACAUUGUCAUGUUGAUCACAGGGUAAGAUUUCUAUAAGAUCCAGUGUUGAUCUGCAUUCUAAUACUUUCUGUAGAUGAUUACUGUAAUGCUACAGUGCAGGCAUUAGAAUCUCAGCCUGCUGGCUUAACUUGGGAUGCUUUCUGGAAGGUGUGUGUAAUGGAAUCCUGUAGGCAUAUUGUGGAAGAUAAUAAGGAUUAGCAAAGUAAAGCAAACCGCUGGACUGUUAAAUAGAAUAGCUUGUGAGCACUUAGCACGGACAACC